CAGUCAGGGAGAAACAGUCAGGUGAAGAGCAGGCAGUCAGGGAGAAACAGUCAGGUUAGGAGCAGGCAGUCAGGGAGAAACAGUCAGGUUAGGAGCAGGCAGUCAGGGAGAAACAGUCAGGUUGGGAGCAGGCAGUCAGGGAGAAACAGUCAGAUGUGCCAAACAGAAUCCAUUCAGUUCAGCACCGUGGACAGCAGCCGGUCGGGAAAGCUGUUACUACGUGGCAACAACACAGCAACGCAUCACAGUCUCCCCACAAAGCGAUCCGUGGGCGGUGUUAGACACCCGUUAGCGGCUGGGGAUAGAGCGUGGGGGCUGGCUGGCUGUCAUCUGUUUAACCGGCACGUUUCACGGAGAGGAGCAGCCAGACCUACCGUCGUUUUAAUAAAAAAACCUCCAGAUUGACUUCCGUUUACGCUGCACCGCUGUUAGGGUCAGCUCACUAGACCCGCCUGGAGUAAGACAUUGAGAUUUCAGAAAACAAACCGGAUUUGAAAAAACGGGAUAUAUAUUUUGUGCUUUUCGGUACACGUGUGUGAGUGAGGGAGCAAAAGAGAGAGGAGAGAGAGAGAGAGAGAGAGAGAGAGAGAGAGAGAGAGAGAGAGAGAGAGAGAGAGAGAGAGAGAGAGAGAGAGAGAGAGAGAGAGAGAGAGAGCGUGUAAGUGCCGUGUUGUUUGUGUCGGUGUUUCGGUUAAAGCGCUUUGUGUGUAGCGGGCUAUGUGUCUGUAUGAGUGUGUGUGAGUGUGGUGUGUGUGUGUGUGGAGUGUGUUCGCUCUGGACCGGAGAGAGGAUAUCCAAGAACAAUGUUAGCGUGUCAACAACAACAGCAGCGGCAGGCUAACGGUCGGAUGUGUACUUGCCGUUUCUCUCAUACCGGGAGAUAGAAAAGGCGCUCGUUCAUUCAAGGAGGGAGGAGGAGGACGUUACCGGAAUACCUAAGAGACGAGUGGAACUGAACCGUCUUCCCGCCUGUCUGACUGACUGUCUGUCUGCCUGGCUAACGUGAAUGAAAUCGUUAACGGAGGAGGAGAGCGUUUCAAUCCACAGCCGUCCAGGAUUCUAUCGACGGAUGAAGAUGGAGUCAUUCCGCCGCUGUGGACGUUAACGGACGUUAGGUCUGGAGAGGCUGGUUGGGGAAGUUGAGCUAGGAGACUGAACGAGAGGAAAGAGGGAGAGGCUGGUUCGGGUAGCUAAAGGGACGCAGCCCAGCCCUGGAUUUCAACAGGAGAUUCCAAGAAGACGAAGAAGAAGAGAAAGAUAUGUGGCGUCACCGCUGCCGCCAGUCUAGUCUGUGGUGGAGUCUUGAGCCACUGGUCGUUAAAACGACCCGGUUUGAUCAGUGAAGCCCCGAGCCUCUCUCUCUCUCUCUCUCUCUCUCUCUCUCUCUCUCUCUCUCUCUCUCUCUCUCUCUCUCUCUCUCUCUCCCUCCCUCUCUCUCAUCUGCUCUCUCUCGCUCUUCCUUUCCCUUCUCUUUACCGAUGUAAAUGACAUCGGUUGUUUUUCUCAGUAAGUAAGCUGUCUCGUGACGUGAGAUAUUUUAAAACCGUCAAUGAAGAUGUUGAUGUGUGACCGAGGCGUCCAGAUGCUGGUGACCACCGUGGGGGCUUUCGCCGCCUUCAGCCUCAUGACGAUCGCGGUCGGGACCGACUACUGGCUGUACUCACGAGGGACGUGCAAAAGUAAAAGCACCAAUGACAACGACACGAGCCGGAAGAACGAAGAGGUGAUGACUCACUCUGGUCUGUGGCGAACCUGCUGUCUGGAAGGUAAGAGAGAGAGAGAGAGAGAGAGAGAGAGAGAGAGAGAGAGAGAGAGAGAGAGAGAGAGAGAGAGAGGGGGGGGGGGGGGGAGAGAGAGAGAGAGAGAGA